UGCAAAUGAUGUCUUUCUCACGAUGGUCUUCCAAACCCUCUGGGUUUUGACGACAGUGCCCUUUGGGCAUCACUGAUGCAGUCCA